UGGCAGGCACUAUGGCUCUCAGUAACUACAUACAAGAGAUUGUGGUAUCAGCAAUUUUUUAUCAUUUAAUGAAUAACAGGGAUCUUGAUUACUUGUUAUAUAUCAUAUGAUAGUUUGUCCCAUGGAUUGAGUGUCUUCCUCCAAGGGAAAUCCAAUGGCAAAGAUACGUUAAAGUUGGAAGCACAGCUCUUUUCCUGAACCAGGCUAAGAAUGCAGUAGGAAGCCGUAGGCAUGAAGCCAGAAUCAAGGCUGAAAGCACAGCUCCUGAACACAAAAGUGAAGUAGCAUCAGCUUCAGUGCCAAAGACGGAUG